AUUGAACGCUGGCGGCAUGCCUUACACAUGCAAGUCGAACGGUAACAGGUCUUCGGAUGCUGACGAGUGGCGCACGGGUGAGUAAUACAUCGGAACGUGCCCGAUCGUGGGGGAUAACGGAGCGAAAGCUUUGCUAAUACCGCAUACGAUCUACGGAUGAAAGCAGGGGACCGCAAGGCCUUGCGCGGACGGAGCGGUCGAUGGCAGAUUAGGUAGUUGGUGGGAUAAAAGCUUACCAAGCCGACGAUCUGUAGCUGGUCUGAGAGGACGACCAGCCACACUGGGACUGAGACACGGCCCAGACUCCUACGGGAGGCAGCAGUGGGGAAUUUUGGACAAUGGGCGAAAGCCUGAUCCAGCCAUGCCGCGUGCAGGAUGAAGGCCUUCGGGUUGUAAACUGCUUUUGUACGGAACGAAAAGACUCUUUCUAAUAAAGAGGGUCCAUGACGGUACCGUAAGAAUAAGCACCGGCUAACUACGUG
rnacentral:rRNA from 1 species